AUAUCAAUAAGCGGAGGAAAAGAAACUAACAAGGAUUCCCCUAGUAACGGCGAGUGAAGAGGGAAGAGCUCAAAUUUGAAAUCUGGCGGUCUACGGCCGUCCGAGUUGUAAUCUAGAGAAGUGUUUUCCGCGCUGGACCGUGUACAAGUCCUUUGGAACAAGGCGUCAUAGAGGGUGAGAAUCCCGUCUACGACACGGACUACCAGUGCUUUGUGAUACACUCUCAACGAGUCGAGUUGUUUGGGAAUGCAGCUCUAAAUGGGUGGUAAAUUCCAUCUAAAGCUAAAUAUUGGCGAGAGACCGAUAGCGAACAAGUACCGUGAGGGAAAGAUGAAAAGAACUUUGGAAAGAGAGUUAAACAGUACGUGAAAUUGCUGAAAGGGAAACGCUUGAAGUCAGUCGCGUUGGCUGGAAAUCAGCCUUGCUUUUGCUUGGUGUAUUUUCUGGUCCGACGGGUCAGCAUCAAUUUUGACCAUUGGAUAAAGUCUUUUUGGGAAUGUGGCAUCUUUUGGAUGUGUUAUAGCCCAUGGUCGCAUACAGUGGUUGGGAUUGAGGAACUCAGCACGCCGCAAGGCCGGGUUUCGACCACGUUUCCGUGCUUAGGAUGCUGGCGUAAUGGCUUUAAACGA
rnacentral:rRNA from 1 species